AAAGUGGUAAACUUGACCACGGGGAGGCUGCAACGAUCCAUACUGCAGGAGGGUAAAGUAAUAACGUGGGAUGAAUGGAAACCCAAGCUGGGGAUUGGAGGUGUGGACUGGGAGAAUGAGCAAUGAGUAGGGAUCCCAGCCCUGAAGAAACUCCUUGUGUUCUGUUAAAAUGCACUCAUGGAUGCAAUGCUUAAGGGCCAAAGAUCUGUGGUGACCUCCUUGGGAGUCAUAAGACGAGCAAUUGAAUAAACAAACUCUAUUGACGGCCGGAAGACACACCCUAUUUUUGGAAUUCCACCUUUUUUGCAGAUUGGAGGAAUCGAAACAUUUUUUAAAGGAUGGAUUCUAAGGUAGAUGCACCCCCACCUGCGCAUCAAAUGAACAUUAAAAAGGUGCUCUGAAUUAAUGUUGCAUUCCGUGAACAAUUGAAAAGCUAACCCACUCAUCCUAUAAAAGGUUGAUGUGUUGUUUUAGGCAGAAUACAAGUACUUCCCGACUUACAACAGUUCAUUUAGUGACCAUUCGAAGUUACUACGACACUGGAAGAAAUGAUUUAUGACUAUUGUAUGACUGUUGCGGCCUCCCCGUGGUCACUUGAUCAAAAUUAAGAUGCUUAGCAACUGACUCAUAUUUAUGACCGUUGCUGUG